UGGGGAAUAUUGCACAAUGGGCGCAAGCCUGAUGCAGCGACGCCGCGUGCGGGAUGGAGGCCUUCGGGUUGUAAACCGCUUUUGUUCAAGGGCAAGGCACGGCUUCGGGCCGUGUUGAGUGGAUUGUUCGAAUAAUCACCGGCUAACUACGUGCC
rnacentral:rRNA from 1 species